UACGGAAGGCAGCAGUGGGGAAUAUUGCACAAUGGGCGCAAGCCUGAUGCAGCCAUGCCGCGUGUAUGAAGAAGGCCUUCGGGUUGUAAAGUACUUUCAGUCGUGAGGAAGGUGUUAAGGUUAAUAACCUUAGCAAUUGACGUUAGCGACAGAAGAAGCACCGGCUAACUCCGUGCCAGCAGCCGCGGUAAUACGGAGGGUGCGAGCGUUAAUCGGAAUUACUGGGCGUAAAGGGCACGCAGGCGGUUAAUUAAGUUGGAUGUGAAAUCCCCGGGCUUAACCUGGGAAUGGCAUUCAAGACUGGUUAGCUAGAGUCUUGUAGAGGGGGUAGAAUUCCAUGUGUAGCGGUGAAAUGCGUAGAGAUGUGGAGGAAUACCGGUGGCGAAGGCGGCCCCUGGGACAAAGGCUGACGCUCAUGUGCGAAAGCGUGGGGAGCAAACGAGGAUUAGAUACC
rnacentral:rRNA from 1 species